GCGGUGAGGCGAUGAGUCACGCUGGGGAGGAGCGGGAGGCGGGGUGUCUGUGAGGGACGAUGGGGAAGGAGCACCCGGCGGUGAGGCGAUGGAGAUGGAUGGGCACCAGCGCGAUGCCUUGGGGGACGAUGGGGACAAGUGGGAUGCUGUGAGGGACCAUGGGGAAGAGCGCGAUUCUUUGAGGGACGAUGGGGACGAGUGUGAUGGAUGAGACUGGGAGGGGAUGAGGCGAUGACUCAAGAUGGGGAGGAGCGGGAGGCGGGGAGUCUGUGAGGGACAAGGGGGAGGAGCGCUGUUGGUGAGGAGUCAAGUGAGGAUGGCAGGGAGGGUGAGGCGGUGCCAGGAGGAGCCGGCGGAGGCAGGAAGGAUUCCCCCAGGGCCUCCGAAAGGGAGAGAAUGAAUUCCUGUGGCUGUAAGCUCUCUAUUUGUGGUCAUUUGUUCUGGCAGCUCCAAGAAGUGAGUAAAGCAGCCAUCCUGGCUUGUCCCUGCUGGAAGGGUUUCUGGGACAUGGGAGUUUCAGUGCUAAAAUCAGGAAAACGCGGAGAGCCCAGAUGAGUUGGGCUCUCCAGGCGCCCCUGCCUCAGGCUUGAACUUAGCAUCUGGUGCGAUAAGGAAGCAGGGACCGCCAGGGUCUGUCUGUGGGCUAGGAGCCUGUGCCCAGGUGGUGACCACAGUGCUCCUGACCGGGCUCUUAGGGGCAGCAGGCUGCAGGCCCUUGUGUGCAGGGGUGGCAGGGUGGUCGUGCAGGGCGUGCCAUCCACACCUCACCUGUUCUGCGGUGUGAAGCUGACCUUCAUCCUCACUGAGAUUCUCCAGCCUGAAGCCCCAGCAAUUCUGCCAACUGGCCGGUAGCACCUGAAGGAACGUCCUUCUGCUUAAAUCGGUUGUGGGAGGAAGCUGUGUCUGCAGCAACCCUCUGGAACGAGGGGCCUGCCCCGCAGUGGAGAGACCGGGCCCUCAGGACACAGCUGCACCAGGGCGCAUGGUACUGCCUUAGCACCGGGCACCUGCCACAGGGCGUGUCUUGAACCACAUCAGGCCUGGGCAGCCAGGGAGGUCUUUUCCAGGAAAAGAAUUCAGCCUCAGGAAGCUCCCACCCUGUCUGAAGGCCCAGAUGGAGAGGAAGAGGCUGCUCAAAUGAUGAAAUCACAUCAGAUCUGGAAGCUGGCUCAAAAUAACCCAGGAAGGAGAUCGGUCCCUGAGGUCGUGUUCAUGUCUUGGCUAUUGUGAAUAACGCUGCAAUGAGCAUGGGAGAGCAGAUGUCUCUCAGAGGUAGUGAUUUGGUUUCCUUUGGAUUGAUAAACAAAUGGCUAACAAUAGGAUCGUCGGAGUCUGUGAGGAACCCAUUUGGUCUAAACCUACUUCAGCCUGACAUUGUUUUUUUCCCCAAAAGGUCCUAAUAUGGCCAUUGAGCAUGCACUGUAUGCCUGCUUGAAGCAUUUGCUGUGUCCCAAAGACAAGAACAAAUGGCCUUAAGAUAAAGGUGCAACUUCCCCCACAUUGGCAUUUCCUUAAGGAUGAGCAUCUCUCCCUAGGCUAGAAAUUGUUUGCUGUGCCCAGCCCGUGACCACCCACAUGGAGACAAAAGUCGGGCUACCUGCUGUGUCCAUCGAGACAGCUGACCCACCACCUGCUGUGUGAAUAGCUGUGCUCACAGGGCAAUCCCGAGACUCUUGUGAAAGGGAACUUUCAAUCAUAUGUGAUAGAUGCUCUUUGACGGUACAGAACCACUCUGUACACUCCCUCUUCUUGGGGGCCCUUCCUUCUUUGGAGAAGGAAGGCCACAGGCUAAGCUAGUCUUCACAAUAAACUCAGCCCAAUGUUCAAUUAUAGGUUGGUUAUGGAUUAUUUUCAUCGACAUUUCUUGGCAUAGUCAGAAGGAUUUCAGAGAAACCCACCAGAGAGCGCCUGGAACCUACACUGAACUGGCAUUCGGUACGAGCAUGGGCCCAUUGAGCCCCCCACAUCACUGCAUUCUUCAGGUGACCCUGGUGCGUUCUCCUGAAACCCAGGCCUCCUUAUUUUAAGUCGACGGUGCAGAGUUUAUAUGAGCUGUUUCUAACCUUAAGACUAAGAGUCACAAGGGGGCCCCAGCACACACCCUCGGUAAGAGGAACCUCGGGGGAAUGCCCAGGCCAGGGGAGCCAAGGGAGAACUUUGGAGUGAAUGGGGCAGGCUGACCUGUUUAAUUUGGCUUUAAAUGGAAAAGAAUUGUGUUUAUAAAGUGUGAACAAACUGCUUGAUAGAGAAAUGAGAGAGUGAACGUGUUCAGCUCUGAAGAGAAGGGCCACUGCUCCUCCCGGCCAAAUGGCGUUCUCGGGUGACUGAGGACCUCACGGAGUGGGCUGGAGGAUAGAAUGCCUCAUGAGGUGCAGCGGCCCCUAGGGAACUCCACCAUCAUUCUCAUUAACUAAUCAUGGUUCGUCCGGGAAGCACACGCAAGGGUUGGUCACCCGCACUCUGGCCCCCACAGAGGUUCUAGACUGCCCGAGGGAGAAACCGAGGCAUGUAAGAGACUGUUUACGACCUUUCUUUAGGGAGUAACACUCACAAGCAGUAGAUUUAGGACCCAUUACACUGUUGCUAGAAGUUGUUCGGACUUUAUAGCAAAAAUUAAAAAUUUUCAUUAAAUUUAAACUUUAAUUAAAAGAAAAGCAGGAAAUCAAGCUUCUAAAAAAGCCUCACCAGAUCCCAAAGGGGCAGCCUCUCCUCUGAACUCUGUUUGGCUUCAUGCUAUGACAUGCAAGUACUUGACAAAAGGGAGAAUGUUCCCAUCCCAGAUUCCUAAGACUGAAAGGAAAAAAGAAAGAAAUGGGAAAAGAAGUGUGUGCAGAAGCCAUCUGCUAUGAAAAUACCCUAGCCCAGAAAUCUAAGGAAAACCUUUGUUGUGCCUGUCUGUCUGUCUGUGUCUAUAUAUGUGUGUUACAAACGUGUGGCAUUUUACCUCCGGAUGGUACGAUUUCUAAAGAGCUCUAUUCCAUUGACUUAAAGUAAGCGCUCACAAAAUUUUGUUUUUCUAAAUGCAACUAAGCCAAAUGUCUUUCAAGCUGACGUGAUAGGCAAUAAUGUUUGUAAACGAAAGCUUGUUUAAGUUUCUUUGUUUGAUUAACACAGGCCUGUCCCCUGAGCCGUCAGCAUCGGAUAUGAUGCGCACACGAGGCCUUCAUUCUACGUUGAUCCGUCACAUAAGCUGAUGUUAUCUCCGUUACAAAACUGGUUAACAAGCAUAAUAACUAAAACGAUGGCUAAUUCUGUCUAAUGUCUCGUGAAGUCUUGUAGGCAAUCUAAAUGAUUAUUGGGAACAAGUAACUAGUAGUUGUGAAAAAGAUGAGCGUUGGGGGAACUUUUAACAAUAAUUAUGUGUUAUGGUGCAUGUACCUAAAACAGCUUCCAAAAUCUGCUUGCUAACUUGAAACUUUGAAGUUGCUAGGUUAAUUUAAGGGAUAAAGAUUCGUUAAAUAUCCAGAUAAUCUCUAAAUAAGAUAAAAUAUUAGGCAUUAAUUAUUAACUGUAUGUUUCUCUACUGUUGGCUUCUCAUUACAAAACCACCCUAAAAGUUACGUGUAUUAGUAAACAUGUCUUCUAUUUUAUUAAAAGAUUUUACUAUGAA